CCCUUGUACACACCGCCCGUCACACCAUGGGAGUUGGUUCUACCCGAAGGUAGUGCGCUAACCGCAAGGAGGCAGCUAACCACGGUAGGGUCAGCGACUGGGUG
rnacentral:rRNA from 1 species